AAAGCUUUAAGUUAAUAAAACUAAUAACCUUCAAAGUUAUAAAUACAAUAAAAUUUGUAGGCUUUA
rnacentral:tRNA from 1 species